rnacentral:rRNA from 1 species
UACAGAGGUCCCGAGCGUUGUUCGGAUUCACUGGGCGUAAAGGGUGCGUAGGCGGUUCUGAAAGUCUGAUGUGAAAUCUCCAGGCCCAACCUGGAAAUGGCAUUGGAUACUAUUUAGCUUGAGGAGUGGAGGGGGGACUGGAAUUCUCGGUGUAGCAGUGAAAUGCGUAGAUAUCAGGAGGAACACCGGUGGCGAAGGCGGGUCUCUGGGCCGAUACUGACGCUGAGGAGCGAAAGCGUGGGGAGCGAACAGG